AAAUUUUGCAUUGUUGUUUUAGUGUUGGAUGAUGCAUACUUUGUGGAACAUUGGAUGAUUAUUGGAAUUCUGUAGAUAGCCUCUGUCAAAAUAGAUGGUUCCAUAUUGGGGUUUCUAUGGUUCAAUAUAACAUCUCUCUUUGGUCGGCAAACCAAUGAAAUAUUUGUGCAUUGCUUCACAUGUAUUUAUGAAUUUACAUUUGUAAUUUUAAGGUUUGAUUAGUUUGAGUGUUUAGUUCAGCUUCAGGUAACAGAAAGCAGAUGUUUUCAUUCUUGUUGAUGAAUUAGAAUAUGUGAUCGCAUAUUGUAUGCAAAUGGGUUACUCUUAGGCAAUGUUUCAAGCAAUUGGAAUUGGAUACUCUCGUUCACUUCCAUCAGCCGCUGCCCUGAAUUGGGUCUUGAAAGAUGGGCUUGGCAGGCUUAGUAGGUGCAGCUACACUGCUAGCCUAGCAUCUUCUUUUGAUACCAAUUUGAAGGAAUGACUUUGAUUCCUACCAAAAUGAGGGGUCACAUAUACUCUAUGUCUGCAAUUACAAUUUUACACAUUUCUUUGGGCAUGUCUUCCAGUUACUAAUCGCCACAGUUCAUUUUUGAAUUUGGACAAAAAAAUUCUUUUAUAUGAUGUACCAAUAACUCUCUAUUUUCCAAAAGAAAUACUGGAAAGUCUGAAAUACAAUAUUAUGGAGUGGCAAAAUUGGUAACUGAAAAAGAAUUACAAAGCAAGACAUUGCAGAGUAUGUUCCCUAUUAUUUGAUAACUAGAUUUUAAUAAAUUGUUUAUUAAUUAUUUUCUCCUUUGUAGAGAGUUAGGUCUUCAACAUCUGUGCUAUUCAGUCUGAGCAUUGGGGUUGAGUUGCUGACUCCUGCAUUUCCCCAGUACUUCUUGCUUGUCGCAUCGAUAGCAAACAUCGCUAAACAAAUAAGCCUAGCAUGCUACCUGGCAACUGGUACUGCUGUUCAUCGAAGUUUUGCAGUAGCAGAUAAUCUUGGUGAAGUUUCUGCAAGGGCACAGAUUCAAACAGUGUGCUUCGAUAGCCUUGGUCUUAUGCUUGCCGCAGCCUUGAACAUUUUGUUCAGAAACAAUCUAAGCUUUUUACUUUUCAUCUUCAGAUUUUAAAUUAGUUCCAUAGUGCCACAGCUAAUCUUCAUCAAAUUGAUAUUCAAUGAUCGUUCCAUCCUUUUGUGAUAGCUAAGUUGACCAUAUUGUACAUCUUAUUGCUGCAAUUCAACAUUGUGGAAUUCUUUUCCCUUGUUUACAUUAUAUUGCAAUAUGUUUAAUAUUGAUUAGUUUGCUAAAAUUUUCUAUUUUAUAUUACCUGUGCUCCCCAUGAAUAUGUGAUCGAAAGGGAUAAAAAAAUUAUGACUUUUUAACUGAUGUAAUGUAUCCAAUUUGCUAAUGUGAUGCUGGCACUUGUGCUUUACUUGGCUCCUAACUGAUAAUUUUUCAUUAAUAUGAAAGGUUGCAAGCAAGUUUGCCUUUUGUCGUGUACCCAAUCUUCUCAGCAAUCGACCUCAUUGGAAUUUAUCAAGGUUUGAAGCAUGUUCAUCAGCAGACAUUAACUGAGGAUAGGCUUGAGAUUAUAAUUAAUACCUGGAUUCAGUUGGGAUGUAUGUAUCCCUUCACCUGCAGAUGUGAGUGAAGAGGAAUGUGUUGAUUUCAUGUGGAACAAAGGUGAGGUCUUGCACCUUAAUUUUUCCAUAAAUAUGUUUAUUGCUUUUAUAUGGGGUGCUUUAGAAUUGGAUACCGGCAUUUAGUGAGAUUUGGAUUAGGCAGAGGAUCGUGGCCCAUAAGAAUUGGUUGCUUAAACCCCAAAAGUCAAUUACCAAGGUUGUCGAUGAUGACUAUGCAAUCUUUGAAUAAUGAAGACUUCUAUUUCAUAUGUCUGGAGAUCCUCUGCAGUGCAAUGGCAAAAACCUAGCAACAAGGCAUUCUCCUUUGUGUACGGGAAGGGGCUGGCACUGCAGAUAUUAUCAUGGGCUUGUUGCAGGCGUGCCAUAUCCACAAGGCUAUUUUAUCAAGUGUGUGCAAGUGGGAGAGCAUUUUAGAAGCUCCUGACAAUUCAGAUUCAGUUUCGAGGCAUUGGUUUCAGUUGAUUGAAGAUAGCAAGCGAAUUGCACGGCGAGAUUUUAACUUGUUGAAUGAACAGAUGUUAGGGUUAAGCUGGGCUUGUAAAAACAUUUUAUUGAGCACGCAAGAGCAAGCUCGAUAUAGUUUUGUAGAUGACUGAAAUUUCAAGCACACUGGAGGAAAGUUAAUACAGUUGCUUUUAGAA